UUUUAAUAUUAUUUAUGUAUAGAUGUGUAUAUGUAUAGGUGUUGUGUGUGCAUGUGCUUUGUGUUUUGUGGAAAUGCCGUGUGUAUAAGUUGAGUGUGUUGGGUUUGUGGUGAGUUUCCAAGUGUCCAAAUAUUUAUAAUUGCUAUCUACACCCCCUUGUUUCCUAUAUUGCAAGUAAGUCCCUCUACUCUCCUAUAAAUAGCAUCUUCCUCUCCUCCAUUUUCAGCACAAAAACACAAGCCAAAAUCCCUCAUUCUCUCCCCUCUAUUUCGUCCAAACACUCCCCAAAUGGAAGAGUUCAUCUUCCACUUCAAAGCCUUCAAGAUUCUUUAUAAAAGUCCCUAUUUUCUCUUCUAAAAUCCCCUCAAAAUGCCUCUCUCUCCCUAAAUUCGAGAUUGCUAAAUACACUCAAAGAAACAACCAUAUAAUCUCUCAAAACUCAUCUCCAAAGCAAUCCAAUACCACCCAUGUCAAGCCCAAAGACUUCCAAGCUAAAACUCCAUGGAUCCUUGGUUUCUUCUCCUUCUUAGCCUUUGAUUUUCAUGGGUUCUCGAAGUAAUCAGAGCAGCGCAGCGGAGCGGAGUUCGAGGAAUCACGAACCUUGAUGCCUUGCACGUCUUACCCGGAUUUCGUAAAAUAUCAUGUUUCCACUUUCGUCUAUAAAAAGGUCUUAUGUACAAAAAUGGAGAUUUUCAUGAUUAUAUUUUACUCUGAUUUAGGAAUCCAGUCUAUUAAACGGGGGUAUUUAAAU